rnacentral:rRNA from 1 species
AGUUUGAUCCUGGCUCAGGAUGAACGCUAGCUACAGGCUUAACACAUGCAAGUCGAGGGGAAACGAUAGAGAAAGCUUGCUUUUUCUAGGCGUCGACCGGCGCACGGGUGAGUAACGCGUAUCCAACCUGCCCAUCACUUGGGGAUAACCUUGCGAAAGUAAGACUAAUACCCAAUGACGUCCAUAGAAGACAUCUGAAAUGGAUUAAAGAUUUAUCGGUGAUGGAUGGGGAUGCGUCUGAUUAGCUUGUUGGCGGGGUAACGGCCCACCAAGGCGACGAUCAGUAGGGGUUCUGAGAGGAAGGUCCCCCACAUUGGAACUGAGACACGGUCCAAACUCCUACGGGAGGCAGCAGUGAGGAAUAUUGGUCAAUGGACGAGAGUCUGAACCAGCCAAGUAGCGUGCAGGAUGACGGCCCUAUGGGUUGUAAACUGCUUUUAUAAGGGAAUAAAGUGAGAGUCGUGACUCUUUUUGCAUGUACCUUAUGAAUAAGGACCGGCUAAUUCCGUGCCAGCAGCCGCGGUAAUACGGAAGGUCCGGGCGUUAUCCGGAUUUAUUGGGUUUAAAGGGAGCGUAGGCCGGAGAUUAAGCGUGUUGUGAAAUGUAGACGCUCAACGUCUGCACUGCAGCGCGAACUGGUUUCCUUGAGUACGCACAAAGUGGGCGGAAUUCGUGGUGUAGCGGUGAAAUGCUUAGAUAUCACGAAGAACUCCGAUUGCGAAGGCAGCUCACUGGAGCGCAACUGACGCUGAAGCUCGAAAGUGCGGGUAUCGAACAGGAUUAGAUACCCUGGUAGUCCGCACGGUAAACGAUGGAUGCCCGCUGUUGGUCUGAAUAGGUCAGCGGCCAAGCGAAAGCAUUAAGCAUCCCACCUGGGGAGUACGCCGGCAACGGUGAAACUCAAAGGAAUUGACGG